rnacentral:rRNA from 1 species
CCUANGGGGGGCAGCAGUGGGGAAUCUUGCACAAUGGGGGAAACCCUGAUGCAGCGACGCCGCGUGAGCGAUGAAGUCCUUCGGGAUGUAAAGCUCUUUCGACGGGAACGAUAAUGACGGUACCCGGAGAAGAAGCUGCGGCUAACUACGUGCCAGCAGCCGCGGUAAUACGUAGGCAGCGAGCGUUGUUCGGAGUUACUGGGCGUAAAGAGUGUGUAGGCGGUUUGGUAAGUUUGGUGUGAAAUCUCCCGGCUUAACUGGGAGGGUGCGCCGAAAACUGCCAGACUUGAGUGCCGGAGAGGAAAGCGGAAUUCCUGGUGUAGCGGUGAAAUGCGUAGAUAUCAGGAGGAACACCGGUGGUGUAGACGGCUUUCUGGACGGCCACUGACGCUGAGACACGAAAGCGUGGGUAGCAAACAGGAUUAGAUACCCGANUANUC